rnacentral:rRNA from 1 species
CAGCCGCCGCGGGAAUACGAAGGGGGCUAGCGUUGCUCGGAAUGACUGGGCGUAAAGGGCGCGUAGGCGGCGAUCAAAGUCAGGCGUGAAAUUCCUGGGCUCAACCUGGGGGCUGCGCUUGAUACUUGGUUGCUUGAGUGGGGAAGAGGGUCGUGGAAUUCCCAGUGUAGAGGUGAAAUUCGUAGAUAUUGGGAAGAACACCGGUGGCGAAGGCGGCGACCUGGUCCUUGACUGACGCUGAGGCGCGAAAGCGUGGGGAGCAAACAGGAUUAGAUACCCGCGUAGUCCCUGUCUCUUAUAC